GAGGAGCCCGCGGCCGAUUAGCUGGUUGGGAGGGUAAAAGCCUACCAAGGCAAAGAUCGGUAGCCGGCCUGAGAGGGCACACGGCCACACUGGCACUGAAACACGGGCCAGACUCCUACGGGAGGCAGCAGUGGGGAAUCUUGCACAAUGGGGGAAACCCUGAUGCAGCGACGCCGCGUGAGCGAUGAAGCCCUUCGGGGUGUAAAGCUCUUUCGGCAGGGACGAUCAUGACGGUACCUGCAGAAGCAGCUGCGGCUAACUACGUGCCAGCAGCCGCGGUAAUACGUAGGCAGCGAGCGUUGUUCGGAGUUACUGGGCGUAAAGGGUGUGUAGGCGGUUUUCUAAGUUUGGUGUGAAAUCUCCCGGCUCAACCGGGAGGGUGCGCCGAAAACUGGGAGACUAGAGUGCGGGAUGGGAGAGUAGAAUUCCUGGUGUAGCGGUGAAAUGCGUAGAUAUCAGGAGG
rnacentral:rRNA from 1 species